CAGUAGCCGCGGUAAUACGUAGGUGGCAAGCGUUGUCCGGAAUUAUUGGGCGUAAAGGGCUCGCAGGCGGUUUCUUAAGUCUGAUGUGAAAGCCCCCGGCUCAACCGGGGAGGGUCAUCGGAAACUGGGAAACUUGAGUGCAGAAGAGGAGAGUGGAAUUCCACGUGUAGCGGUGAAAUGCGUAGAGAUGUGGAGGAACACCAGUGGCGAAGGCGACUCUCUGGUCUGUAACUGACGCUGAGGAGCGAAAGCGUGGGGAGCGAACAGGAUUAGAUACCCCGGUAGUCCCUGUCUCUUAUAC
rnacentral:rRNA from 1 species